CUCCUGCAGACAAACAAGGUGGAGAUCUUGUAUUCAAAUGCCUGAAGAAUUUCCACGGGGACCUUGUCAAGAAUCGCCGCAAGACCUGACGUAGCUUUAGAAAAGAACAGAGUGCUGUUAUUCAUUAAGAAAUUGCCAUUCAACAAUUGUUUUUUUUCCUGUUCCGCAGUAAUAAAUGAAACAUUUUGAA